CCCAAAUACAACAUCCCAGGGACUGCAUCCCAAAUAAAACACCCCAGGGACUGCAUCCCAAAUAAAACACCCCAGGGACUGUACCCCAAAUAAAACACGCCAGGGACUGCAUCCCAAAUACAACAUCCCAGGGACUGUAUCCCAAAUAAAACACCUCAGGGACUGUAUCCCAAAUACACCAGCCCAGGGACUGCAUCCCAAAUACAACACCCCAUCCUUGGUGCCUCUCACACCUUCUCCUGCUCUGGCACAGAUUUGUCUUUUGCACGUCACACGGUGCAGGGCUGUAGCAACGACUGUGAUGUCUCUUGGAUGGGCAAAACCAGGUCCUUCGAAAUGUCUCAGCCAGGCACCAAGGACACCAAUCCCAGCUGAGAUCCAUGUGGGUGUCUCUCACUUGGCCAAGCCAGCCCAAGCCCUCCCCCAGGUUUAGUCGGUUCAGGAGUCUCAGUUUUGG
rnacentral:lncRNA from 1 species